rnacentral:rRNA from 1 species
AGUGAACGCUGGCGGUAGGCCUAACACAUGCAAGUCGAACGGCAGCACAGUAAGAUCUUGCUCUUACGGGUGGCGAGUGGCGGACGGGUGAGGAAUACAUCGGAAUCUACUUUUUCGUGGGGGAUAACGUAGGGAAACUUACGCUAAUACCGCAUACGACCUACGGGUGAAAGCAGGGGAUCUUCGCACCUUGCGCGAUUGAAUGAGCCGAUGUCGGAUUAGCUAGUUGGCGGGGUAAAGGCCCACCAAGGCGACGAUCCGUAGCUGGUCUGAGAGGAUGAUCAGCCACACUGGAACUGAGACACGGUCCAGACUCCUACGGGAGGCAGCAGUGGGGAAUAUUCGACAAUGGGCGCAAGCCUGAUCCAGCCAUACCGCGUGGGUGAAGAAGGCCUUCGGGUUGUAAAGCCCUUUUGUUGGGAAAGAAAAGCAGCAGGUUAAUACCCCGCUGUUCUGACGGUACCCAAAGAAUAAGCACCGGCUAACUUCGUG